UUUUUAAUGAUGAAACGAUGACGAGUAUGAAAAAGUGAAAAUUGUUUAUUAUUAUUUUUAAAUACAUGUUUUAUGUAGUUAUUAAUAUUUAAUAAAUGUAUUUUUCAUUUUUAUUGCAUGAUUAUUUGAGGCAUUUGGCUGAAAAA
rnacentral:snoRNA from 12 species